CACCACUGCACUCCAGCCUGGGCCACAGAGCGAGACUCGUCUCAAAAAAAAAAAAAAAAAAGAAAAGAAAAUGAUGUUGACCUCUUGGAUCCCCCGGGAAGUGUCUUGGGGACCCAGGAGUCCAGGGAUCAUAAUUUGAGAGCCAUGGCCUAUAUGACCAUGGGUACUAAUAGCACAUGCCUCCAGCACCCUCGAUCAGCCUCCCUUGGCCUCAUUUUCCUCAGCUGUAAAGGGAGGCCUGGGCAGGCUCUGUUUCUUCACAGUGUUGGACCCUGUUUGCUAGCCCCGGAAGCUGCUUCUCCCUUAGCGGUGAUGCUGCUCUCAGCUCCUGCUUUUCCUCCCUCUCUCAUGCCUCCCUUCCUCUCCGUGGCUCCUCUUCAGCUCACUCUAUACAGGUUGUCAUUCUUCUUGUUUCGUCUCCUCCUCCUUUCCCUGGAUGAUCUUAUUUCCUCCCUGGUCUUUAACCAUCACCUGCAGGCUGACAGCUCCCAAAUCUCUGUCUUCAAUCCGGAUGUCUGUCCCGGGCUCCAGUUUUGUGGUUCCACCUAUAUGCUCUACAGGUCAUAGAAUUUUCCACACUCCUUGACGGAGGUUCUUAACCCUUAUCCAUCAGCAUUCUCAGACAGCACCUCCGGUUAGGGACAGUAUCUGACCGUCCGACAUCCCUGCAGCCCCCAUGCUGUCACACAGAC
rnacentral:antisense_RNA from 1 species